rnacentral:rRNA from 1 species
AGGACUAACGCUGGCGGCGUGCCUAACACAUGCAAGUCGAACGAAGUAGCAAUACUUAGUGGCAGACGGGUGAGUAACACGUAGUCAACCUGCCCUUCAAUGGGGGAUAACUAGCCGAAAGGUUAGCUAAUACCGCAUACGAUCUCUGAGUGGCAUCACUCGGCGAUGAAAGGAGUAAUCCGUUGAAGGAGGGGACUGCGUCCCAUUAGUUAGUUGGUGGGGUAAUGGCCUACCAAGACUCCGAUGGGUAGCUGGCUUGAGAGAGCGACCAGCCACACUGGAACUGAGACACGGUCCAGACUCCUACGGGAGGCAGCAGUGAGGAAUUUUCCGCAAUGGGGGAAACCCUGACGGAGCGACGCCGCGUGUGGGAAGAAGGCCUUCGGGUCGUAAACCACUGGUCGAGGGGGACGAUAUUGACGGUACCCCUGGAGGAAGCCCCGGCUAACUACGUGCCAGCAGCCGC